UACGUAGGGUCCGAGCGUUGUCCGGAAUUAUUGGGAGUAAAGGGCUCGUAGGCGGUCCGUCGCGUCGGGAGUGAAAACUCGGAGCUUAACUCCGAGCCUGCUUCCGAUACGGGCAGACUAGAGGUAGGCAGGGGAGAGCGGAACUCCUGGUGUAGCGGUGGAAUGCGCAGAUAUCAGGAAGAACACCCGUGGCGAAAGCGGCUCUCUGGAACGGUACUGACGCUGAGACGCGAAAGCGUGGGGAGCGAACAGG
rnacentral:rRNA from 1 species